AGCGAACGCUGGCGGCAGGCUUAACACAUGCAAGUCGAGCGGGCAUAGCAAUAUGUCAGCGGCAGACGGGUGAGUAACGCGUGGGAACGUACCUUUUGGUUCGGAACAACACAGGGAAACUUGUGCUAAUACCGGAUAAGCCCUUACGGGGAAAGAUUUAUCGCCGAAAGAUGGGCCCGCGUCUGAUUAGCUAGUUGGUGAGGUAAUGGCUCACCAAGGGGACGAUCAGUAGCUGGUCUGAGAGGAUGAUCAGCCACAAUGGGACUGAGACACGGCCCGAACUCCUACGGGAGGCAGCAGUGGGGAAUAUUGGACAAUGGGCGCAAGCCUGAUCCAGCCAUGCCGCGUGAGUGAUGAAGGCCCUAGGGUUGUAAAGCUCUUUUGUGCGGGAAGAUAAUGACGGUACCGCAAGAAUAAGCCCCGGCUAACUUCGUGCCAGCCGCCGCCGUAA
rnacentral:rRNA from 1 species